rnacentral:lncRNA from 1 species
UGUGAUUUAUCCUCAUGGGCUGGCUGCCUAAUUGGAAUCGAAGCUUUUCACACAAUCUUUAUGAAGUAAGUCUUCAUAAGAUGUGCCGAUGUGGUGCUAUAUAUAUAUGUUUUGGAUUUUGGCAAAGAUGGAAAAUUUAUAAUGACAGCCCAAUUUAUUUUAAGUAGAGUGGAAAAUUUAUUGUUAUUAUACAUACCCAAACUAAUACGUAAUUAUUUUGGUAGGACCCACCCAAUUAGGAUUCAGAAUUUUGAAUUUUGAAACCAGUUGGAUCAUUAUCCGAACCUAUCCAUUUUCAUGUUUAAUACUGCGGUGAGGUGCAACCAUGCUGGAGCUCCGGUCCACUAUUGUUCAGUUGAUUUGUCAAUUUAUUUAUUUAGAUUCAAUCAUAAAAGUCACAUUUUUAUUAAAUGGGUCUUGGUUUGACCAAUUCACCAAAACGACUCAUUGUAGGGUCAGUGC